CAUAUAUAUAUAUAUAUAUAUCAACAUGUCUUCAUCAACGUUCUACAUAUUUCUUCAGAAGAUAAAGACUAUGAGUUUGAUUUUCUUUGUGUGGCUGUUUUGAUCUACGAAAUGUGCACCAAAUAUAACACUUACUACUCCAAUGAAUUUAAACAAAUUUCGGAUACCAUUAAUAAGACCAAUUUAUAUUUCCCUCAUUUUGUAUCAUUUGAAUUAAAAAAUUUUUGCUAUGAGUUAUGCUCGAAAAAAAAACACUGCUUUAACGAUCUCAAAAAUCAUACUUGGUUUCAUAAGCAUCUUAACUUAUGAAAAAAGAGAAAAUAAUAAAAUCAUUAAAAAUAAUAACCA
rnacentral:lncRNA from 1 species